UACGUAGGUGGCGAGCGUUAUCCGGAAUUACUGGGCGUAAAGCGCACGCAGGCGGUCUUUUAAGUUUGACGUGAAAGCUCCCGGCUUAACUGGGAGAGGUCGUUGAAGACUGGAAGACUUGAGGCAAUGAGAGGGAUGCAGAAUUCCAGGUGUAGUGGUGGAAUGCGUAGAUAUCUGGAGGAAUACCAGUGGCGAAAGCGGCAUCCUAGCGUUAGCCUGACGCUCAUGUGCGAAAGCGUGGGGAGCGAACGGG
rnacentral:rRNA from 1 species